rnacentral:tRNA from 1 species
GGUUAUGGCUCAGCGGUAGAGCGUUCGCCUUGCAAGUGUAAGGCCCUGGGUUCAAUCCUCAGCACCA